rnacentral:rRNA from 1 species
UACGUAGGGCCCAAGCGUUGUUCGGAUUUACUGGGCGUAAAGGGCGCGUAGGCGGCGCGGUAAGUCACUUGUGAAAUCUCUGAGCUUAACUCAGAACGGCCAAGUGAUACUGCAGUGCUAGAGUGUGGAAGGGGCAAUCGGAAUUCUUGGUGUAGCGGUGAAAUGCGCAGAUAUCAGGAGGAACACCGGUGGCGAAGGCGGGUCUCUGGGCCGAUACUGACGCUGAGGAGCGAAAGCGUGGGGAGCGAACAGG